AUCUAAGUAUACACAAAGUAAGCGCAAAUGCGCUCUUUCGGAUAACGUAUCAUUAAUAAAAAAAAAAAAAAAAAAAUAAAUAAAUAAAUAAAAUAAAAUAAAACAAAAAGUAAAAAAAGAACAAUACAAAAAAAUCAUCACUACGAAGUUGCAAAGUCGCGUGCAAUUCUGGGAGGGUCCAUUGUCAUUAGUUACGACGCAUCUACGUAUAUACAUAGAUACCUAUACGAAAGCUAUAUAGAGGCUGGUAUCUAUAUAAUACAUGCACAUGUAAUAUAUAUAAAUGCGCCCGCGCGCUCGCACACACAUAUACCCAUCGGUAUCCCUUCUCUACCGGUCUUUCGCACGCGGCUUCGCACGGCACCCUGUACACGACGCCCUACACGAUGCCACGCACGCGUCGAGCCGAGCACCACGACGACACACGGACCACGAGGGGAAAAAUGACACAUGACCGUGAGUCCGCUCGAGCCUGCAUAACUUUUUGGUCCGAUCAUUGUGCCAGCAGGGAUUCAAACGCUGCUCCCACUGUACUAUCCCCAUUCGUGAUCAUGAACCAUUUUACGACUUCGAUAUCGCGGUAGACCUUUUGUACCUAUGAGAAGCUACCUUAUUAACGGAUCAAACAAGAAAAUCUUCUAAAGUUUCACCUUCCUCCCUUUUUAAUACCUAUCGAUGGAUUUAGCGUGCAGUCCGAUAAGAUGUCGAAACGGGUCACAGCCGUGACCUUUCCAGCCUUCCUGUCAACGGUUCGUGGAUCAUUCGUUCUUCGUUGCGUCGCUCGCAACGUUACGUUAUUUCUCAAGAGCUUGAUUAUAUGUAUAUUAGCAAUAUAUUUUUGCAACAAUACGAAACAAAGUAUAAGAAAUAUUAGAUAACUCUUCGGAAUAAAAAAUUAAUUAAAUACCAACGAAUGGAUUAAGAUAUAUAUAUGUGUGUGUAGAGAAAUGUCAUCUAUAAGAUCAUCCACCUUUGUUCUAUUUAUUUAUCAAUGACCCAACUAUUGAUUUUGUUUUGUAAAGUUAUCGCAUAGAAAAGAAUAUACGUCCAAGUGUUAUAUCGAAAAUUUGCAAAUUAUGAACCGACCUAAUCAACAAAUUUCUUUUCUUAUCGAUCAAAAGUAACAUUUUUUUUUUACAAUUUUUUCUUUCCCUGAUCCAUCUCAAUGAUCGAAGACGAUGUUUUUACCAAUGAAGUCGGUGGAAUGUGGAAAAUGAUAUAAGCAACUUGCAUUCGUCUAUUCUAAUACGUAACACGUCUCGGUUAUAUGUAGAUCAUGAUCUUAAUAGACUAUAGAACGAAAACAAGAAGAACCAACGACUGAGAGAAUAUUACGAACUAUCGUAACGAUUACAUGAUCGAUGCCACUUUCUCGAGAGCUAUACACGAGCUCGGAUCGUUCACCAACAUUAUCAGCUUCGCUAUGAUCUCGCGUUAUUUAUCUUAUUGCCGUUAUCUUAAAGAGAAUUAACGUUCGGACAUCAUGUUUUUCGCCAGUCCGUUUCUGUCUCCCUAAAAUCUAAAGUUACGGAAUGAUCGAUUUACGAGAAGUAUUUCUUCUGUUUGACCAUUUCGAUCGUUUUCUCGCCUAACUGCAUUUACAUAUUUACUUAAGAAUAUCAAAUUGGACGAUCAUAAAGUAUGAUAAAAAACGAUAAGAAAAUCUAUUUCGAAGAAAUUUAAUUAGGCCAGAAAUGAAGUAUACGUAACACAUUAUUUUACCAAUGUUUUUUCAUUAAAGUUGUACUUAUUAGGAAGGAAUUUCUGCGGUCGGCGAUACUUUCUAAUGCAACGAAUCUUCAUUUCGUCAUUUCCAUAUACUUGGAUAAAAAAAAAAAAAAAAUAGAAAUUCUUCGUUGUGGCCACUUAUCCUCGUGGUCAUGGAUAACCGCAUAUCUCGUGGUUUCUAUAUUUCAUUGAAUUUCUUUCGAGUUCUCUCGCGUGACACUUAUGUUAGUAAAUACAAUUUAUAAAACAAUUUCUCGAGAAAUUUUUACAAGUCCCGAACGUAUGAAAACAUCGAGACCCUGAAAAACUCUAAUUCCUAUUCGAGUCUCAAAUACAAAGAUGGUCCAGAAAUUCCUAGUCUUGUAAUUUAACGAUUUGAAAAAAGAGAUAAUUAAGCAAAAAAGUCUCGAAAAAGUGUAAUUGAUAUUUAAAUUGACCCAGUAACUUUUGGCCCAUCCUAUAUUUCGAUAAGAACGAACGUAGCAUACGUUUACUUCAAGACGAAUACUUCUCCUUGUUUCGUUUCAUCGCGUAAAAUAAUAUCGUUAAGAGAGGAUGAAUCUAUCAGAAUGAUCUUUUAACGUAUCCUGUCGAAAGAAAAAUAAAAUAGAAUAAACAUUAGAAGCGUGAAAGGGUAAAGGUUCUAGAGAUAGAUGAAAGAAACGUCAUAGAAUAAUUUGCCUUUUCGAAAUUUAAGAAAAAGAAAGAAAAGGAAAUAAAAACAACAGAAAGGAAGAGUAUAGGUAUGAGAAAAAGUUGGAUGGUAGCCAUGCCCUUAGACGGUGACGAAAAGAUGGGCGCGCUUACGUCAUCAAGAGCGUCGAGAAGAACGGAUGGCGGCGUACUGCCGAGUAUGGACUGCUAUGAACUUAUGGAGCAACCAGAGUAAAGGCGCGUUUGCACUCGAGCAGCAGCUCAAACUUGCUCUCGAGGAUAUCGUGCGCGCCACAACGAACAAGGAUAUAAACCGUGCGGCGCGUGAGCCAAUCAUAUAGUCGUGAUUAUUCGAGCGAAACUCGUGCAGGAUAAGAGGAAGCUCGGUUGAAAUAAUCAAAAAAGAAAUGUAUUGGGAAUACAAAUGUCCGUAAGUAAAACGCAGAAUCGUUUUAUUAUCAAAAACGAAAGACAAAAUAAUAAUCGUGAAAGAGAGAUAACUCGAUGCGAUAUCUCAUAAAGAAAAUAUUUGCGCGUUUCUCAAUGAAGCCUGACGUAUUACAUAUGUACCUAUGUACUAGUCAAUAUACCACGUAUAUCAGCAUACGACGUUUAUUGCGAUGUAUGCAAAAUCUAAUCUUUUUCAUUUGUUUAUGUGCCAAAUCGUGAACGAAGAGAGAUAUUAUUACUAAUA